rnacentral:rRNA from 1 species
UACGGGGGGGGCAAGCGGUUGUUCGGAAUUACUGGGCGUAAAGGGGUGCGUAGGCGGUCUGUUAAGUUGGAUGUGAAAACUCUGGGCUCAACCCAGAGCCUGCAUCUAAAACUGGCAGGCUAGAGUUCUGGAGGGGGUAGCGGAAUUCCUGGUGUAGCGGUGAAAUGCGUAGAUAUCAGGAGGAACACCGGUGGCGAAGGCAGGUCUCUGGGCUGACACUGACGCUCAUGCACGAAAGCGUGGGGAGCAAACAGG